GAAACCAUGAACUGCCACAGCACUGACAAACAUUGAUGGAACAGCAUUACAUUCUCAGAGAGGGAUAUUUAAGGAAUUUGGUAAAGAGGUGACACAUCCCCCUACUUCUCCCCACCCUGGGGCCUCAGGAGGUUCCUAGUUCUACAAAAUUUUGGACAAGCCCCUCUGAGUUCAUAGAGUACAGAAGAGGAUUUGGAUGUGAAGAAAAACACGUCCAGAAUCUGAGUUCUUAGCCUGCCAAGGACUGGGCUUUGUAAGAAGUCUUCCUCCUAGACAAACCUCA